ensembl:lncRNA
CUGUUCUGGAAGACUUCUGAUAGGAGGUGGAGGUCUGGCUCUGGGUGAGGAGGUGGAGGUCUGGCUCUGGGUGAGGAGGUGGAGGUCUGGCUCUGGGUGAGGAGGUGGAGGUCUUGCUCUGGGUGAGGAGGCAAACACCUUGGGACAAACUACAUGUUACCUUUUUAACCUUGUACAGUUCUAGAGUAUCUUCUACUGUAACAUGUGGGAAUGACGGCCAUUAUUUUAGCUUUGAUAUUAUCCAGUUGGUAACUCUGCACCAAAGUCGUUGUUCAACGUCAUUCCAUUGGGUAGGGUUUAACUUCUGUGGCAAUUAAUGACAAGCAGAUAUUUAGAACGUACAAAAGCUGAAGUAACAAAGAACACUAAGCAGUAUCGAUAUUAAAUCAAAUAUACUCAGCCAUAUUCAGGUGCUGGGUUCCGUUGAAGAAACGUCAAAUUAUCUUCCACCUUGAAAUGAUUUUCAGCCUUCCGUGAUGUCAAAUGGGCCCGCAAGUAGAACGCUGUUUUGUACGCAGUGAGAGUCCCGUCACGUCAUCGUGGGUAAAAGUACGGCGCAACGAUCGGAAAUUAUCAACAUAUUGUACGACGUACGUGUCAGUAAGUAUUUAAUAUCAAACUUAAGUUCCCAAUGGAAACCGACUGAAAAAUUGUUUCCGUUGGCAACGGCUCGAGGUUACUCAAAUACAAUCUAGAACGUUCCUCCAGAUUCCCUCAGGGGGCUCCCGUCCAACUAACUGCCAGGUGGUUUCUUAUGGUUGUCAAGACUACAACGUUCUAUGCUAACCAUUCAGACUAAAUGAAGUGACCGCACUCAAAACCUUCCACGGCGGGAAGCACAAACCGUCCGACUGGAAUCCGAACAUUCCGGCCGGAACCAACCAAAGAAAAACGGAACCAGCGCCUCACCUUGAGCUGAACGGAGGAAGAUCCUGAAGUCCAGCGAUGGUCUUCAUUAAAACACAGCCAACAGACUUACCUUGAGGAGAUCUGUUUGUUGCUGUUGGUAAUUACUACUAUUCAGUGUGCCUUUACAUUAUUAUGCACCCAGUGUGUACAAGUUAUAUCACUCAAAACCAUACGAAGAACCAAACUACCAUGUACGUCCCACAACAACUUUAAACCUAAAAUCCUGGAAUCAUUCAAUACAACACCGUGUCUACAUUUUACAAUUAUCUAGAUUAUUCAGGGUACAAACCAUACAGAGCAAAUCUAAACGUUGAGCUCACAGAGAGCCGACCAUAGCCCUGCAACGUCACCCUGACCGCCUCAUCACCAACAGCAAACCAUGCCAGCCAGCCAACCAACACAUGUACAGCUCCAGUGAGAAGUGGGCAUCUGAGUGAAAGGACUGCCCAUAAUAAAAAUGAAGCCCAAUUCCUGAACUAUCUAACCAUCUUCAUGGUUUAAAGAUUUACAGUCUAAUCACCUUAGUCUGCUCCCUCGUUACUUAUAAAACUCUACAUCUCCAUCACUAGAGUGUUGCAUCCUACUCAUGGGGGUGUGGUCUGAGUGAGCAGAGAUGCAUGCUGGGAUACAGUGCUGUCUGAAGUCUUCAGUUCCAUAGACACGCCCCUCAGGAGAAACCAAGUGUUUGAGAAUCUGUCGUGACAUCAGUUACAUGAGCUGGAAUAUCCUUCAAGAUGGCGCCAGGAUUCUCAGAGGAGAAAGGCCAAGAGGAAGAUGUGUGGGUUCUUCCUCUCAGCCAGUGGAACACAACAACGGUCUUCAUCAGAGUACCAUGGAACAUUUUGAAACAUUCUCCUCUUUACACCUUGAAGCCCCAGUGAAGGUUUCCUUACCUCCUCAGCUGAAGAGCACAACUUCAGCUCGAAGAGCGCACUAGCUGGAGUUCCCAGAUUGGUUCUGAUUUAAGGGAACCAAUCGUUCAGCUAGUCCUGUCCGAAACAAAUACAGUUCAGCCUGAGAAGACGUGCAACUGAGAGCAAGACAAGAUCCACAGGGCUCUCCAUCAAUCCAGCCAGGUAGGAAGAGCCGUCUCAUUACAGGUCUGAAGGUCAUCUUGAAUAUCCAUUUAGGUCCCUUUCCAACGUCAGACUCUCCUUGUGGAAUUCCUUUUGGCGUCCAUCCUCCAUUGAUCCUGAUUGGUGUAGUCCUAGUUUGAAGUCACUGAUCUGAACACGUCGCUUGCAUCCUUUUACAUUUGAGUUGGAUACUCUCCUUCCUGCCCAGUGUGUUGGAUCUCGCUCCGGAGCGUCGCUCAGGGCUCUUCAUGUCUACUGGAGCCCCUUAAGUAAACAUGUAGCAGUCCAUCAGGUAUGAUUUAGUUGACCAUUCCAAUAUCCCAACCCAAUCACACAGACCCCCAUAUGAACAUUAUCACUGUCAAAGCAAGCCGGACACACACAGAACCCAGGACAGGCACGCAGAACCCCAUGCCAGGCGACACACACACCUUCCAUCUCAUGUCAAACCCAAACACACACACCACAGAGCCAUAAAAGGCCAAACAAUCAUGCAGGGUAAAAACCUCAUGGCAAAUAACAUUCCAUCAUUCCCCCCCAGCUCUCCUGCCAGGGCACCCAUAACAGAACAACCAAUGUCGCCAGAGACGUAAAUUAUGUACAACAUUCUUCAGUGGCAUCCCACAUUGAUGAUGGAUUAUGCUUGGCGUCUCCAAAAUGUGUCCCAGGUUGAUUCAACAUUUCUGAAGUCAUGUCUUUGUAGUCCAGUGGUUUCCUGAAUGAGGGGCCUUCACAGAUGCAAACGGUGCAGCUUUAGUCAGCCUGCGGACAGGAAGGAGGUCAUCUGUUCAGAAGACCAACCAGUGGAGGGGGGUGGCUCUUGAGGAGCAGGAUCCAUAUGGGGAUGGCCCCAAAUAAGAACUUCUUGGAUAUGAAUCUGUUCCUGAGGAGUCACGAUGCCUGGAGGGGACUGUUGAAUGUGUUCCAUGGUUCUGUGUCAGACUGAAGUUGUGUUUUAGUCGUUGAAAUGAGGAGCCCCCUCAUCUCCCCCUGGCGUUUCUCCUUCUGAAUCCGUCUCCAUCUUUAAGAACAUUCCAGUCCAUGUAACUGAUGUCACGACAGUUUUUCAAACACUCGGUUUCCCCUGAGGGGGCGUGUCUACAGACCUGUAGACUUCAGACAGCUCUGUAUCCCAGUAUGCACCUCUGCUCACUCAGACCACACCCUCAUCAGAGAAGCAACAUUCAUGUGAUGAAGAUUGAAGAUAUCAGAACCCAACCCAUUACUCCAGCUUACAACAAUAACUUGGAGCCUGUAACCAUUUUAACAAAUCAUUAAAACCAACAUAAACCAAACACCCAAGUAACCCAUGAUCCAAUAAAACAUCCUUAAUACUCAGAUCAACCGUCAGGUAACAAGUUAACUCAACAGGUAGCCAAAAUACAUCAAUGUGCCCAAGAGUAAUGAGAAAUUAAUGACUUACAGUUUGCAGUUAUGCUUCAUGGUUAAGUUGGGAUACUCACAGAACUGCAGUUAAAUAUCCAUGAUAGACCUUUGAAUGAAGGAACAGUUUACUCAUGGUCCAAAUUUCAAACGAGAGUUAAUCCACCACAAUCCCAG